UACGGAGGAUGCGAGCGUUAUCCGGAUUUAUUGGGUUUAAAGGGUGCGCAGGCGGUCUGUUAAGUCAGCGGUCAAAGCCCGGGGCUCAACCCCGGCCCGCCGUUGAAACUGGCAGUCUCGAGUUGGAGAGAAGUAUGCGGAAUGCGCGGUGUAGCGGUGAAAUGCAUAGAUAUCGCGCAGAACUCCGAUUGCGGAGGCAGCAUGCCGGCUCCACACUGACGUUGAGGCACGAAAGCGUGGGUAUCGAACAGG
rnacentral:rRNA from 1 species